rnacentral:misc_RNA from 1 species
GCAAACUUGGUCAUUUAGAGGAAGUAAAAGUCGUAACAAGGUUUCCGUAGGUGAGUAGAUGGAUUCCUCGCUACAUUUGUAUCUAGGAUUUUGCUAACAGUUUUCCAGGUGAACCUGCGGAAGGAUCAUUACUGAGGUACGAGCCUUCGGCUCGAACCCCCACCCUUUGUUGAUUUGCCUUGUUGCUUCGGCGGGCCGUCGGUCCCCGCCCCCGGCUAUGGCUGGGGUGUGCCCGCCGAAGGACCGCAUCAAACACAGUGAAGAACAAGAAGUCUGAGUCCACAAUGAAUCAGUCAAAACUUUCAACAACGGAUCUCUUGGUUCUGGCAUCGAUGAAGAACGCAGC